rnacentral:rRNA from 1 species
AUACGGAGCGGGCUAGCGUUAUUCGGAAUUAUUGGGCGUAAAGGGCGCGUAGGCUGAUUAAUAAGUUAAAAGUGAAAUCCCGAGGCUUAACCUUGGAAUUGCUUUUAAAACUAUUAAUCUAGAGAUUGAAAGAGGAUAGAGGAAUUCCUGAUGUAGAGGUAAAAUUCGUAAAUAUUAGGAGGAACACCAGUGGCGAAGGCGUCUAUCUGGUUCAAAUCUGACGCUGAGGCGCGAAGGCGUGGGGAGCAAACAGGAUUAGAUACCCUGGUAGUCCACGCUGUAAACGAUGAAUGUUAAAUAUAGGAAGUUUACUUUCUGUAUUACAGCUAACGCGUUAAACAUUCCGCCUGGGGACUACGGUCGCAAGAUUAAA